rnacentral:rRNA from 1 species
UCCUACGGGAGGCAGCAGUGGGGAAUUUUGGACAAUGGGGGCAACCCUGAUCCAGCCAUGCCGCGUGAGUGAAGAAGGCCUUCGGGUUGUAAAGCUCUUUCGGCCGGGAAGAAAUCGUAUCAGCUAAUACCUGGCGCGGAUGACGGUACCGGCAUAAGAAGCACCGGCUAACUACGUGCCAGCAGCCGCGGUAAUACGUAGGGUGCGAGCGUUAAUCGGAAUUACUGGGCGUAAAGCGUGCGCAGGCGGUUUUGUAAGACAGGCGUGAAAUCCCCGGGCUCAACCUGGGAACUGCGUUUGUGACUGCAAGGCUAGAGUACGGCAGAGGGGGGUGGAAUUCCACGUGUAGCAGUGAAAUGCGUAGAGAUGUGGAGGAACACCAAUGGCGAAGGCAGCCCCCUGGGUCGAUACUGACGCUCAUGCACGAAAGCGUGGGUAGCAAACAGGAUUAGAUACCCUGGUAGUCCACGCCCUAAACGAUGUCAACUAGGUGUUGGGAGGGUAAAACCUUUUAGUACCGGAGCUAACGCGUGAAGUUGACCGCCUGGGGAGUACGGCCGCAAGGUUAAAACUCAAAGGAAUUGACGGGGACCCGCACAAGCGGUGGAUGAUGUGGAUUAAUUCGAUGCAACGCGAAAAACCUUACCUACCCUUGACAUGUCAGGAACUUUCCAGAGAUGGAUUGGUGCUCGAAAGAGAACCUGAACACAGGUGCUGCAUGGCUGUCGUCAGCUCGUGUCGUGAGAUGUUGGGUUAAGUCCCGCAACGAGCGCAACCCUUAUCAUUAAUUGCCAUCAUUCAGUUGGGCACUUUAAUGAGACUGCCGGUGACAAACCGGAGGAAGGUGGGGAUGACGUCAAGUCCUCAUGGCCCUUAUGGGUAGGGCUUCACACGUCAUACAAUGGUCGGCACAGAGGGUUGCCAACCCGCGAGGGGGAGCCAAUCCCACAAAGCCGAUCGUAGUCCGGAUCGCAGUCUGCAACUCGACUGCGUGAAGUCGGAAUCGCUAGUAAUCGUGGAUCAGCAUGUCACGGUGAAUACGUUCCCGGGCCUUGUACACACCGCCAU